AUUCAUUUUGUGUGUGUGAAGCUGUCAGCUCUGCAACGGAUGUGUACUGACAGUUCAACAAGAAAGUAACAUAAGAAGGCUGCACCAAUGGCUGACAAAAAUGUGUGUGGCUUCGAAUCGUGACUGCUGCAGCCUGCAAAGAGGUGACGGGAGCGCCCACGCCCGAGGCAGCCGCG